CGCGCUUGUACGACAGGCGUUAAAACUUCCUGGUUUCCAUUCCGCCCCCUGGCGACGCUCUUUGGAAGCACAUGUACGCACGCCCAUUUUUUCUCUGAGCCCCAGAAGGAAGGCGGACAGGCUUCGGCUUCCCCAGGGAAAGUUCUUAGUAAAACCCACGCGAAGAAGAUGCCUGUGCCAAUUAGUAGAGUCCUUAGGAAGAUGUUUCACGUGUUCUGCUGUUCACUGCAUUUCUCCUGAAGACAUCGUUGGAUCUAGAACUUGGAUCACACUUCAGCGUAGUUGCUGUUUCAGCCUCCAUCAGGAGGUGUAGCUCAUCUAGUUGCCUUUCAUUUUGUGAUGUUUCCAGUGAUUGAUAAUUAGUGUCUAAAUGUAUUCAUUCAUUAGAGGUCACGUUCUAAUCCUGUCAUAAGGGAAAAUAUUCUAACACCAUCAUUUUUUUCUUCACUUACUUGCUGGACUCUUUCUGUGAAGACAGACUUCCUCUAAAUUUCGUUUACCCAAUGGUACUGUUUGUAUAGGAAGGCAGAAGAAAUGCUUGCUUCUCCCUUCAGUUACUAACUUCCAACAUAAGGCGUCAAUUCAGUAGAUCUUCUAAUGCUGACUGA